UUAUAAGCUUUAGGUUUCGUUUGUUUAUUGGUUAAUGUGCCUUUUGCAUCAUGCUUAAAUGAGAUGCUUGAAUGACUUUCUGUUAUCGAAAUGUACAGAUCUUUAAUGUUAUACGGUUGCCUGGGUAAGGGUAUGUUUUUAUUGUGUAAAUUGCAUUAGUGUUGUGAUAAAUUAUUCGGUGUGCAUUAUAUCUAUUUUAUAGCUUUAUAUUUUUAUAUCAGCCUCAUGGCUAAGAUGUCAUGGGGAUUUAUAUAUUUUUCUUUUUUUUCUGUUUUAAUAGGGUUAAAAUUACCUCUUUGUAGUAGAAGUGUUAAAAUUUUUUGUGAGAUGCUAUGUAAAUUAUUUUUAAAGGCUGUAUUUUAGGCGACUGGGUGUAGAUAUUUAUGUUUAAAUAAGUAAUAUUAUUAGUCCUUGUUGUUUCUCGAGUUUUGCCCGUCUGUUUAUUAAAAACAUUUCUAUAUAGUAUUUUUUAUAGUAGUACCUGCUCUAUGUGUAAAUAAAUGGCCGCAGUAUUUUGACUGUGCGAAGGUAGCAUAAUUAAUUGCCUUGUAAUUGAGGGCUUGUUUGAAUGGUUUGACGAGGUAGUAAUGAACAUCGAGACUUUUUUUGAAAUUAGUGUGGAGAGCACAGAAACUUCUCUUUUUAAUUAGACGGAAAGACCCCGGGAUCUUUCUAUUUUGCCUGGGGCAGGUUAAAUUAUUUCAUUUUAAUUGAGACCCUAGUGGUUUAUUGGUGUAAGUUACCCCGGGGAUAACAGUAUAAUAGCUUAAUAGAGAUCAUAUCGAUUGAGCUGUUUGUCACCUCGAUGUUGACUUAGGUUUAGACUGAGGCGCAGUAGUUUUAGUUGCUGGUCUGUUCGACCAUUUAUACCUCCAUGAGUUGAGUUAAGACCGGCGUGAGCCAGGUCGGUUCUUAUCUAUUAUUCUAGCGCAUUAGUACGAAAGGAUUGUGCGCUUUUUUGUU
rnacentral:rRNA from 1 species